rnacentral:rRNA from 1 species
UACGAAGGGGGCUAGCGUUGUUCGAAAUUACUGGGCGUAAAGCGCACGUAGGCGGAUCCUUAAGUCAGGGGUGAAAUCCCGAGGCUCAACCUCGGAACUGCCUUUGAUACUGGGGAUAUCGAGUCCGGGAGAGGUGAGUGGAACUGCGAGUGUAGAGGUGAAAUUCGUAGAUAUUCGCAAGAACACCAGUGGCGAAGGCGGCUCACUGGCCCGGUACUGACGCUGAGGUGCGAAAGCGUGGGGAGCAAACAGGG